UUUUAGCCCCGAUUGUAACGGAAAUCCUUUUUAAUUUUUCUUUAAAAUUANAAAAAUUGUAGUGGAAAGCGGGAAAUAGC
rnacentral:ncRNA from 2 species